CCUACGGGUGGCAGCAGUGAGGAAUAUUGGUCAAUGGCCGUAAGGCUGAACCAGCCAAGUAGCGUGAGGGAAGACUGCCCUAUGGGUUGUAAACCUCUUUUAUGCGGGGAUAAGGGUGUCCUCGGGUGGAUGUGUGCAGGUACCGCAUGAAUAAGGACCGGCUAAUUCCGUGCCAGCAGCCGCGGUAAUACGGAAGGUCCGGGCGUUAUCCGGAUUUAUUGGGUUUAAAGGGUGCGUAGGCCGGUCUUUAAGUUUGCCGGGAAAUUUGGUGGCUCAACCAUGGGCGUGCGGCGCGAACUGGAGACCUUGAGUGCGCGGAAGGCAGGCGGAAUGCGUGGUGUAGCGGUGAAAUGCUUAGAUAUCACGAAGAACCCCGAUUGCGAAGGCAGCCUGCCGGCGCGUUACUGACGCUGAAGCUCGAAAGCGCGGGUAUCGAACAGGAUUAGAUACCCGGGUAGUC
rnacentral:rRNA from 1 species